AGGAAGUCAGGAGGGGCGGGGGGGCUGAGGGGAGCGCGCACACUCUCCGGCGCGCGUGCGCAUCCUCACUAACGGACCCCAACGAACUCAACGGGCGCUGCUGCCUCACGAGGCGCUCUGCCUGACAGCGAAGAGGAAGAGGGAGAGCGAGAGUGGUGACAGCCACUUCUUGUACCGCCUCCCACUCCUCGCUUUCCCUAUUCCGCUAGGGCAAGUCUCUCAGCUUUCUUUUUUCUCCUCUGGUUGAGAUGCUUUGGGCAUUUGUAGGAAACCGCUGGGACGGGCCCUGGGCCUAGCGGGGGGGAAGGAAGUAGUAAGGGUAUUUCCUGAGCCCAUGUCCUGCCCAUGGCUAGGACAUGCUGGGCUGGGCUGAUCAUUGGAGAAUUUUGUCCAGGCUGUGGGAAGAAAGGAUAAAGCCUCAAGAGAUGCUCUCAGGGAAUAUCUGAUUGAUGGCUCUGCAACUAUUUAAUGUCCAGCUUUGGUUUGUGAGUGCCAGAUGCUCUAUGCUGGGGAGCCCGCCUGCAACACAAGAAAGAAUGCAGCUUCCGUGCUGCUGAGCUAUAGGUACUGUGGUGUCAGCGUUUACACAAUAAGCCUUCAUUUCCCGGGAUCACGAACUCAGCUGGAUAUUGCCUGGAGAAUUUGUUUCCCCUUCUAAUAAGGUCUUGACUGUAGAACAACUUGAGCUCCUUUUGGAAAUUGAAGCCAUGAUUCAUAACAAGAGAGCAUAAAACCAAGAGUUUCUAUGUAGAAUUAUUAUAAAAUUUAGCAUUUCCUUUUCCUAGAAAUAAAGGAAAGACCUAAAGCACAGACUUAUAAAAACAUUCUGUUCAAUAAAUGUACUGAAUUUCGUAAGGAA